CUCCCCGCAGCCCCCCGGCUUUCCCAGGCUGCCGGUGCGGUGAAUGCCUCUUUCACCAGCAGUUCCCCACUUCCCCAAAAAGCAUCACCUUGCCAGCUCCCUUCCUCCCACCAGCUGCCAGGAAAAAAAAUUAGGGCAAGGACAGGGAGCUAGAGCAAAACCAAUGAACUUGUUUCCAGGUUUUCCUUCGGAUCAGCCGUCCAGCACCGGGAGAAAAACAUUUGUCCUGUAAAAAAACUCCUCUCUCCGUGCAGGCUCCGAUCCUGUCGUCACUGGGACACUGGCUGGAGACAGGGGCUCAGCUCGGCAGCAGAGGACACUGUAUCACCAUGAGUGCAUGGAGCCGUGAAGAUGUCCUGAGCCCCAUGGGGACACCCUGGGCCCCGUGGGGACCUGUCCCCUGCCUUCCAGUCCCUCUCCUGGAGCUCUCACAGCCCUGUGGUAGCAGCGUGGUGCAGGUGGAGAUGCUGAGCCACAGCACGGAGCUGGGUGGGUUGUCACUCUGAGGACCACAGAGCAGGUGCCCUGACAGGUGUUCCUGGAUCGUUCACUUCCCGACUCCUCUGCUGCACCCCGAUGGAGCUCCCCAGGGGCUGCAGCUGCCUGAGGCACCCCUCACCCUGAUGCGGGUGGGCGCAGGGUGCGGCAUCCGCAUCCCUCACCGGGGCCACCACGGCGAGGGGUGCCCGGCACUGCUGGUGGGGAGCACGGAGUUCCUGCUCCGCAGGACGUGACCAGGCCCGCGCUUGCCCUGGGAGCUGACGGCUUUAUUUAUGGAUCGGGUGGAAAAGAAGAAGGCUUGGUCAAAACGUCCCACAGGCCCUGGGCCUGCCCCUGCCCGCGGCUCGGACACGUCACAGACACGCCUGUGGGCCUGCGGAUGGUCAGCCAUGGGGGACAGCCCGGGUGGGACACGGCUCGGAGCGGUGGGCUGCCUUGGUGAGGACGACAGCCGUGAGCCCACGCAGCCACCACUCGCCAAACAAGCCCCUCUCAGCCGCAAUCCUCUCUGGCCAUGAUCCCCUCGUCCAUGAGCCCCCCUGGCGAUGACGCCCCCGGCACCCAGCGCCCUUGGCCAUAUUCCCCCAAACGUGAACCCCGCCAUCCCACUGCCCACCCACCCACGCCGUGCAGGCACCGUGGGGACCCCGCCGUGCGCUGGCGGGGAGCACACGGGGAUGCCCUGGAGCAUCCUCGGGCAGGGCGUCCCGGGGUGUCCCGCGGUCUGUCGCCCUCCAGCCGUGGGUUAGGCGGGGCUCUGCACCGAUAUCGCCUCUAUUUAAGGAAACGC